UUACACUGUUGUGUGACUUUUGUUAUUUCAUUGAUUUGCACAAUUUAUGUUGUUUUCCAGGGUAAACGAAAAGUCCCCCCGAGGAAAGGCUCCUAAAGUGCAAUAUAUUCAAAAACGUUCUGGCAGCACAAGUCCUGCUUUGACCAAAUCAGCUGGCAGUGAAAGGGUUAAAGAGCAGAAUUAGCAUAGGUUUUGUGGGACAUCCAGGAACCCCAUACAGCAUCAAACUUUUGGGGGCAACCCCUUGCGAGGUUAUUUUUAUACUCUGGUACUUCUUUGUACGUUACAUUCUAUUAAUACUACCAUGGCCUUGAAGGCAGAGCUACCUGCUUUGCUGUAAAAGCAGUUUUUUUGUUUUUAAUAGACAACUUUAUGUUCUCACACUGGUAACUCCUUUUUCACUCCCAUAAUGUUGACUUUGUCAUAUUAAAACUCUGUUGUUCCUUUGUUCUGGGUUCUGACUCUCAGAUGAGCUCUAACACCACAAAGCUCAUGUCAAAUAAACUAUGUCUUUCACAUCAAGUAUCCUCCGGUAACUAAAUUUCCACAACAUUUAUCUAGAAAAAACACAUGGACCAGAAGAAAACUUUUCUCCAAAUUUAAUUCCAUUUUUUUUCAUAUAGAAAAAACAUCAAGAUAAACAGCAAGAUAAAUUUUUCUGAAUUGAACUGCAUUUCAAAUUGAAUCUUAUCAAUGAGUUUUCACGUGAUAAGCCUUUUUCUUAAUUAAUUGAAUUUGACUCAUUGUGUGAGACAUUUGUUAACUGCAGAACCCAGAGUGGGUGAUAUAUUUGAUCACCUGCAUGUAUGGCAAAUCCUAUGUGGGCAAAACAAUCCAUAUUUUUAAAACCAGGCAUUAUAAACAUAUACAAAAUUUUGAGCAAUCACAAAAUAUAAUCGCAGCCCUAUUAGAACGUUCCCUAUUGUAGGCCCAUGCUCCACUCCUAUUUUUGCUCUUAUUAUCGAUCGAUAUACCUUGAACCAGGUGAAUUUCAAGGUGGUGCAUCAAGGAAAGUGGUUCUUUUUGUGACUAUGUUUCUCUCUGGUUCAAUUUCUUUGAAGUAUAAUUUAAUCCUGAUUCAUGGGCAUCAGCAAAUAGGGGCAAUGAGGGGGCACUUCCCCCCCCCCUGGAAUUUUGCACAGUGUUGUUUGGUUGGGGCACAGGUUCUCAGAUGCAGAUGGAAAGUCAGAUCUCUAAGCUGUAUUUUUAUCUUCAUUGGUCCGGCAGGUAGUGAGGAGCAUAGUCGAGAACAGGAACUAGGUCAAACCAGGAAGUUCAGAAAUUUAGAAACAAUGUUUACAAAUGGAACUGUAACACAGGUCUUUUAUUAAAUGUUUAUUACAUUUUUUCUUGAAUAUUCAUACAUUGUUUUUUUUUUUGUAUUUCAACAAGACUUUAUUGGAACAGUAUAUUAAUUGUUACAAUUACAUUUAUAAUAAUUCUUGCAUAAUAAGCUAUAGACAAAUGUAGAUUAAAUUACCGUAGUAUGGAAAAAAAAAAAAGGAGAGAAAAAAAAAAGGCAAGAAUCAUGAAGAGCGCGAAGAGAUAGUUGGAGGAGCCAUGGACUACCUAUGGAGGAAAAAGAAGGGAAGCCAUGUGGGGAACAGACAGAGAGAGAUGAAGAAAAGGGGAAGAAAAAGAAGAGGAGAAGAAGAUAGGAAGCCUGAGGCUGGAGCUGGCUGGCACAUAUACGGUCCAGUUGGAGUUCUUCAUUCCAGGCACGUGUAAAGUAAGGAGUAUUUAAACCAUUCACAUUCAAGGACACAAUUUUCAAGUUACCUGCCAUUGUGUGCGUCAAGAUACGGAAGAGUCGCCAUCAGAAUCAGGCUCACCUCCACCCGCCUCCGCGGUGCUAGGCCCCAUGACGCAUCUUUCUUCCUCAGCGUCGGACGGCAUCAGAAAAUUUUUAAGGAGCUUCUGUGACUCGGUCUGCAGCAGAGCUCCAGAGCUAUGCGUCCAUCCCGUUGAGCAGUUGGCCACGCCCCCGAAUAUUCAUACAUUGUUAUCAUAUUUUCCUUUAAGUGCCUCCUCUCAGGCGUAAAGAACCCCAACAUGGCCAGUUUUUCCUUUUACCAGCUUAGCUGACCUUCUUUGGACUAUAAUUCAAUAAUAUCCUGUUUGAGCACUGGAGAACAAAACUCCAUUGCAUAUUCUAGAAGGGAAAGAAUGACCCUCUCCUGCAGAGAAUCUAUACCCCAUUUAAUAUUCAAAACUUUGUAUGCUCUUGUUAGGGGCAUUUCUGGCCCCCGGCCUUUCAAUGCUGCCGCCCCCUCUGACCUAACACUUACGUUUCCUAGCAUCGGAGCAGGGUGAGGUCGCUAGUGAAGAGAGUGCAACUGCACUCACUGCACUAGAAGAGCCCAAAUUCUAAUUUAAAAAUUGGAAUUUUGGCUCUUAAAGUUACCAGGAGAGGCUUUUUGUCGCCCUGUUAACUUGCAGCCUGCUACUGCCUGAGGCAAGCUUAGUCAGCCAGAUUUCCAAUUUGUCAAGACCAGAUUGCCAUUUUGUCAAUAAUACUGUAACACAUAUCUAGCUUGAGUAAAGGUUGGGCAAUGAGAGGUAUUUAUUUUUUUUAUUUAAUUUUUGUACAAAACAUGAUGUCAUGACAUUACGGCACAACGGCAAACGUCACAAAGUGAUCAGGGAUCCUGACGCACAGCAGCAACAGGACGAAUGUCACCGUAUACGGAUCUUGGGACUUCCUACCUUUUAGUGCGGGCUGCUGCUGCCUGAGGCAAGCAUAGCCAGCCAGAUUGCCAGUUUGUCAAGACCCUGCUACAAGGAUACCACAUCCUGAAUGGAACUGGACUGCAUAGUUUUAUGUUAUCUGCAAACACUGACACAUUACUAAUCACCAAUUAAUUAAAAAACAAAUAAAAUAAAAGUG